rnacentral:rRNA from 1 species
AGCGAACGCUGGCGGCAGGCCUAACACAUGCAAGUCGAACGGGCCCUUCGGGGUCAGUGGCAGACGGGUGAGUAACACGUGGGAACGUGCCCAUCGGUUCGGAAUAACCCAGGGAAACUUGGGCUAAUACCGGAUACGACCUGACGGUGAAAGAUUUAUCGCCGAUGGAUCGGCCCGCGUCUGAUUAGCUUGUUGGUGAGGUAGCGGCUCACCAAGGCGACGAUCAGUAGCUGGUCUGAGAGGAUGAUCAGCCACACUGGGACUGAGACACGGCCCAGACUCCUACGGGAGGCAGCAGUGAGGAAUCUUCCACAAUGGGCGAAAGCCUGAUGGAGCAACGCCGCGUGAAGGAUGAAGGCCCUCGGGUUGUAAACUUCUUUUAUAAGUGAAGAAUAUGACGGUAACUUAUGAAUAAGCACCGGCUAACUACGUGCCAGCAGCCGCCGUAACAC